AUAAAUGGUUUAUCCCUUCAGAAACCCAGAGGAACCAUGGGGACCCAGGGAAGCUUCCCACUGAUUCUGAUUGUUCCUCUGGGUUUCUGAAGGGAUAAACCACUUA